UCUUUUUAGUAUAAAUAUAAAGUCUGGCCUGCCCGCUGAUUGUUGAAUGGCCGCGGUAUUUUGACCGUGCUAAGGUAGCAUAAUCAUUAGUUUUUUAAUUGAAAGCUAGAAUGAAGGGUUGGAUGAGAAAUUAGCUGUCUCUAUUAAAUUAUAAUAGAAUUUUAUUUUUAAGUUCAAAAGCUUAAAUAUUUUUAAAAGACGAGAAGACCCUAUAGAGUUUUAUAUAGUUAAUUAAAUUUUUAUUUAGAAUUUAGUUAAAAGUUUAGGUGCUAUAUUUAAUUGGGGUGAUUAAAAAAUUUAAUAAACUUUUUUUUAUUUAAAUAUUAAUUUAUAGAUGAUUGAUCUGAAGUUUUUGAUUAUAAGAUUAAAUUACCUUAGGGAUAACAGCGUAAUUUUAUUAGAGAGUUCAUAUCGAUAAUAAAGAUUGCGACCUCGAUGUUGGAUUAAAA
rnacentral:rRNA from 1 species